GUACUGUGAAACUGCGAAUGGCUCAUUAAAUCAGUUAUCGUUUAUUUGAUAGUACCUUACUACAUGGAUACCUGUGGUAAUUCUAGAGCUAAUACAUGCUAAAAACCUCGACUUCGGAAGGGGUGUAUUUAUUAGAUAAAAAACCAAUGCCCUUCGGGGCUCCUUGGUGAAUCAUAAUAACUAAGCGAAUCGCAUGGCCUUGCGCCGGCGAUGGUUCAUUCAAAUUUCUGCCCUAUCAACUUUCGAUGGUAAGAUAGUGGCUUACCAUGGUGGCAACGGGUAACGGGGAAUUAGGGUUCGAUUCCGGAGAGGGAGCCUGAGAAACGGCUACCACAUCCAAGGAAGGCAGCAGGCGCGCAAAUUACCCAAUCCCGACACGGGGAGGUAGUGACAAUAAAUACUGAUACGGGGCUCUUUUGGGUCUCGUAAUUGGAAUGAGUACAAUCUAAAUCCCUUAACGAGGAACAAUUGGAGGGCAAGUCUGGUGCCAGCAGCCGCGGUAAUUCCAGCUCCAAUAGCGUAUAUUAAAGUUGUUGCAGUUAAAAAGCUCGUAGUUGAACCUUGGGUCUGGCUGACCGGUCCGCCUCACCGCGAGUACUGGUUCGGCUGGACCUUUCCUUCUGGGGAACCUCAUGGCCUUCACUGGCUGUGGGGGGAACCAGGACUUUUACUGUGAAAAAAUUAGAGUGUUCAAAGCAGGCCUUUGCUCGAAUACAUUAGCAUGGAAUAAUAGAAUAGGACGUGCGGUUCUAUUUUGUUGGUUUCUAGGACCGCCGUAAUGAUUAAUAGGGAUAGUCGGGGGCGUCAGUAUUCAGCUGUCAGAGGUGAAAUUCUUGGAUUUGCUGAAGACUAACUACUGCGAAAGCAUUCGCCAAGGAUGUUUUCAUUAAUCAGGGAACGAAAGUUAGGGGAUCGAAGACGAUCAGAUACCGUCGUAGUCUUAACCAUAAACUAUGCCGACUAGGGAUCGGGCGGUGUUUCUAUAAUGACCCGCUCGGCACCUUACGAGAAAUCAAAGU
rnacentral:rRNA from 1 species